rnacentral:snRNA from 1 species
AGAGAAUUGCUUGAACCCGGGAGGUGGAGGCCGAGGUGACCAGAGAUCAUGCCACUGCAUUGCACUCCAACCUGGGUGACAGAG